CUGGGCUCUCUUACUUUUUUGAAGAUGUUUCCUAACUUGAAUGAAUUCAAAGAGCUGAAAAUCAAGUAACUAUAUGAUUAAAUGAACACAAGAAAAAUUGAAGAAUUGAAAUAUGGAGCACCAAUUCUUUGAAGAAAAGAAAUAGGCAAUUCCACAAUCUGUCCUACUGAAGAAGAGGCUAUUUCUCAGGCGAAAGGUGUGUUGUCAACUACAGGAUUAUUGCAUGAUGAAGGACUACUUGACUGUGCAAAUAGGUUAUAAGCUUUGGCCUCUUUCAUUGGACAGCCCUCCCACAUAAGAGAUCAAACCAAACCAGAGCUGGCUGAAAUUUCUGCUAUGGAUGAGCAAAGAGAGGACAGGC